rnacentral:lncRNA from 1 species
AAGCCGUACCGGCUAAGACUGAGGCCAAGUCCAAGGCCCUUAAAGCCAAGAAGGCUGUGCUGAAGGGUGUCCACAGCCAGAGGAAGAAGAAGAUUGCAAACAAGGUAAAUUAGUGAAUGUAAAUCGGGGACCUUAAGUUUAGCUCCAACCCUAAUUAGAACACACCUGAGCAAGCUCAGCAUCAAGGUCCCAGGAUCCCUAGAAAAUCAUAUGUAAGUAAGUUUGAUUAGGGUUUGAGUUAAAUCUGCAGGGCUGUGACACUCCAGGACUGGAUUUGAGGAACCUAAUGUAAAUGUUCAUACUUGUAUUAAACAAUAGAUGUUGUCAGAUUCAUGAAGCUAGAUUGAUCUAAAUUCAAUUAAUAUUUUCUUUUUUGCAAAUCAUUUGUGCUUUGACUUGUGCUGAUUGUCAUCUUUUUUUUUUCUUGCAGAUCGGCAUCAUCUAAAGUGCUCUUGGUCUGAUGUACAGAAGAAUAAAUGGAUGGGGAGAAAUGAAAACUGAAACAUGCUUAAUAAAAUGCAGUGUUAAGUUGAUGUCAGCCAAAGUUAAGGUUGCUAAAUGUUAUUUUAUCAGGCUCUGUAUGAAUACCAUAAUAAUAAAUAUAACAACAAAUAUACAUUAUAGGUUAGGCUUAAAGCAGUUUUCUUCAGGGGGUCCCUGCUCUCUCCACCAAGAGAUUCUCAGUCUGAAAAAAGUCAAAACUCAGACUCCUGAAUUACUUUUAUAA